rnacentral:lncRNA from 1 species
AUUUUAGAAUAAAAAGCAGAAGAAAAUAGAAUAUAUAUAUAUAUAUAUACACACACAUCUAUAUGUUGCAUGCUUAUCAUCCUAGGUUAGGAAAUCAUACCUCAAUGAAUAGAGCUGAUGCUUCACAUGGUUCCAACUUCUGAACUACCUCUGCAGCUACUUCCUGCAAAAAUCAGAAACCAUUCACAGGGUAUGUAUAUGUUCUUGAAUUUGUAUAUGUUUAUAUGUGUAUAUGUAUAUAUGUAUAUGUGUAUAUAUGUACCCUAGCUUGGGUGAGCUGCACUUGAUUUAGUGUUCUAGGCUCCAGCUCAAUGGGGCACAAGGUGUUUGCCAUAAGUUCUGAAUGAAGAAAGGGUGAUGCAAGAUGUGUUCUCCACUGUGAAAAAUUUGAUGAGAAGCAAUUGCAAUUGCAUUGCAUCAGCUGUUUUAACUUGGGUUGUUCAUUGGUUGACCAAUAUAUAACCAAUGAGAAGCAUGAUAUUUUUCAACACAUUCACGGGGUCUUUGUGUCAUGUGAAGGAGUUUGUGGCCAAUAUUGAGGAGAACAUUUUCCAAAUCCCGUGGUUCAGUUGAGAACAAAGUUACACCUUCUUUACUUGUGACUGCAAUGCUCUUACCAAUCAUUUUAUCAGUCAAGUUCUCUUUUUACAGAGUCUAACAUUAACAAUGGUUGCCAAAAAGAAGCUAAGGAAAGAGGGUUCACAUGCACAUCACCCUUUUGAUCCUCACUUUUCUAGAGAUUUGGUGAUUUAUAGGUUUUCUAUGCCAGGUAGGUCACUUUCUCUGUUCAUUACAUAUUAAGGGCAUUUCAAGAAACAAAAAUGUACUCACAACCUGCAAAUUCCAUUUGAUUAGACUACUCUCCAAGUCUCAUAACACUUAAUGAAUCUUUCAUCUCAC